rnacentral:tRNA from 1 species
GCUCCCAUAGCUCAACUGGAUAGAGCAAGCGGCUUCUAUCCGCUAGGUUGCAGGUUCGACUCCUGCUGGGAGUACCA